CGAAGACCUAACAACCACUGUUCUUCGUGGGUUAAUCUCGCCUGUUGAAGGAACUCAGCCCCAGGCUCCUUUUUGUACCACAGGAGAAGCAUUUUCUCUUCUUAAAGACAGAACAAAAACUGUUUGAUCAUUUGUUUAUAUUGAAAAUUUUGUUCUUUUCUUCGAUUAUGCAAAUACCCAGAUGGCGAAGCGUUUUUAUACUGAAAAGCAGCUUGAUUCCAACUUUGUCAUCAUCGACAACAUCAAUAACAAAGACCCAUUGUGCUUCAAUUCAUUCUACACCUACUACAUGCGAAAAAUGGAAGAACAAAUGGAACGCUGAUGUAAGCAGAUUCCAACAACCAUCGAAGAAUUAUGUAAGGUAUGCAGUACGUCAAAAACGUGCCGAUGCAAAGAGAGCUCUAAAAGACCUUCUCUUCAACAAUGGUUCCUCUAAACCUUCAUUCAAGGUGAAUUUUGCCUUGGAAUCCUUAAUGAUAUUCAGAUUGCCUUGAUGCAAGAUUUUGCUAUAGGUCCAGUUUAUCACAAGAUAGUUCUAUUGUGGUUGUAUUAUUGCUUCCAUUCGUGGAUUGCUGAAAUCACUUGACAAAUAUAUAAUCAUGGUCUACAUGUGUGAUCCAUUUAUCGCACUGCUAAUAAAUAAUAAUGAAGAACCUAUAGCAUUCUUAGAUCAUUUUGGGUAGCCAUUAAAUAUGAUUAGUGGAUGCUGUUUUUUCUUAUUGCUUAUUAACUGGAAGCAAAAGCCAAUAAGUGUUUAUUUCCUUUUUAUUUUCAUUUCACUGUGCCAUGAUUAGAUAUUAUAUUGUCAAGUACAACUGUCAGAAUAGAACUGUAGUCACCAUAUAUGAACAGGAAUAGAAAAGAGUAAAGCUGUUUUGUUAGUUGGAUGUGACAUGUAUCAGGAGGCUAGAAUUGAUUAAAUUAAAACAAUGAGGUAAAUUUGAAAAAACAUGUAAAGUUCAGGAUUUUUUGGUAGUCAAGCCUUGAUUCUCACGUCAUUCUUUUGAUUAGACAUACCUUAGAAAUUAAGUAACCAUUAAAAUAUAAUGCCAUAGUUGUCAAAUUGAGAGUCAAAAUCUUAUUUUUGUGAAUCAAGAACUGAGAAUUGAACCGAAUAAUAUGAUUUGGUGUAAAAUCUCAAAACCAAUUAAAAAUAGCAUCCAUGUAAAAGAAGCAUAACAGAUCAAAAUCUGAAAUAUUUAAUAAUACAUUUUUAUAGAGUUCACUGUAGUCCAUGGCUGAUACCAUUUAACCCAAGACUGAAGAAAAAAAAAGGAAGAAAUUAGGUGAAGUAUAAAUACAUGCAUGAUUCUGUUUGAUGAUUAUAGGUAAGUGAAAAGUCUUAUUUUUGUUCCUUUAUUUCAUUAAAAGAGAAAAAUAAACUGUUUUUUGAACUUUCACAAACUCAUAAAAGUGGAAGGAACCUGUAAGAGGAUAACAGAAGCAUAGCUAUGAGCAGGGGAUUAUCUACGCAUGUCUUAGUGAGGUCAAUUUUGACUCCAAUAAACUUGAGGGGACAAAAGAUAGAGUAUGGGUGUUGCAUGAAAUUUUUUAGGGCUUUUAUAUUGACCCCACUGAAAGUUAUUAGAAAGAUAAGAAAUUGAGAUCAGUUUUGUACUGACUUAUUUUAGGUGAAAUGAAUAUAAAUCUGAACAGUUAAUAACAUAUGUACCAAACUUCAACUAAUUGAUAAAUUUUUAUUUUAAUACUUUAAAUGAUGUAAAAUUUAGAAACUUCUUGAUUGUUCAAAAAUUAUUUUACGUGAUUCGUUUUACAAAUUUGUUCCAAGUUGCGAUUGUGAUCAACUAUAUUAUGUGUGUAUGUGCAAUUGGUGAUUUCUAAUUAAUUAUAUGUGCAAUUGGUGAUUUCUAAUUAAUUAUUUUGUGCUGAUAUUUUAAAUUAGAAUUCUGAACUGACCUAUUGAAUGAAUGACCCUCAUAAAAAUAUUUCUUGUUCUGCCACCACUUAUUACUCUAGUGACCUCCUUCAAUCAUCCCUAGCCAAAAGGUCACUGACAAAAAUCAUAAUUUACCCCUUUUUGCAUAAUUUUUUUUAUCUCAUAUUCAACUACAAAUAGAAAAAUAUGAAGUUCUUCUAGAUCCAAGCAUUUUCAUAGUCUUAGAUAUUGGAAAAAAAUUAAUAUUUUCUAACAUGUUCCAAAUGUGGAAAAAAAAUUCCAAUUGAUUUUUGAUAACCAAACAGUAGAAAAAGUAAGUUUUCUAAUAAAAUACUUUCCUCAAAAAAUAUUUCUAUAGACAAGUUAUUUUCUGCAGAAACAAACUUGAGUGUAAAUUUCUAUUCAGAAUCUUGAUUGUUAGCUUCUUGUCACAAGAAAAUAGGGGGUGAAAGGGUUAAUUUGAGCUUCAAGCCUGUCAGGUCCAUUUAGAUCCAUUUGAACCCAAUUGGAAAGGAAUCCACAGAAUCAAUUGAUUUGGAAAAAUUCAACUGGUUCACGAAUGAUUUUCUCAAUUCUUCAUCAAUUCAUGGUAACUUCUGAUUCUUCAUCUAGAUUUGAAUCAGUGGAGGGGAGAAUGGAAUUGGAUUGACUGAUUUGAACCGAGAAUUGUUUGAUUCUAAUGAUAGUGGAUCCGGCAUAGACAAUUUCAAGGGAUUGGUAAAUACAGCCUUAGAAUCUGAUUGAUAUCACUUGUUACUGAAGAUGUGUAGGGUCCAAUAAUUAUAUAUCUUACUUUUAAAUUAAUUUUUCCUCUUAAAAAGAUUUUAAUUUAUGUUAAUUUUAUGCUCAACUUAUGUCCAUUCAAAAGUUCUAGUUGUCCAGGUAAUGAUACAUGUAUUGCUUAACACUUGUAACUAGGAUGAAGAGUCAUUAUGGGCAUGUGAUCCAGAGCAUUCACAUGGCACUGGUAAGAAAAGGCAAGUAAAGUCUUCUGCUCGACAUCGAGGGAAAUCUCAUGUCAAGAAAAUGAAACGUAAGUUUAGGAGAGAGAGUUUCUCUGAGGACUCUGAUGGUUGUGAGACAUUUUUUCAAGCUACAUUUGGAAAAAGAUGGUAUACUUGGUAUUUUAAUGAGUCUUCUUACCGAGGUUCAACAUUUGGAUUUGACUGGAGAGAGCAUCCAUACUGGACAAAUCAUAGAGAUAAAGACUGGGAUGCUAGAAGUGAAACUGAGUCUGUUAAUGAGUCUUGUUCUGUCGGAUCUUUUCAUGAUAGAACAAUCCUCGGUUUGCCUCCAAGUGGUCCUUUAAGGAUUGAAGAUGUUAAAGAUGCUUUCCGCAUGUCAGCAUUAAAAUGGCAUCCUGAUAAGCAUCAAGGCCCUUCACAGGUUAGUUGAUGAAUUUCUGGUCUUUACCCACUUCCUUUUCUGUAAUUACACUUAUUUCUUCUCUCCAUCAAUUACAUGGAUUUUUUUAUUUCUUUUUUUAAACUGAUAUUCCAUCUUUUGACUUGGUCUUUCUCUGAUCAAGCCAUUUACCAUUUAUUAAUGUGCUUUUCUAGUUUUCUCUCAUUAUAUCUUCAUGUCACCACUUCCUGAUAAUUGUAAAGCACAGUGUUUACAAUAUUGAUAUGCAUAAGCAGUGUGUAUAGGGCUGCAAGGGUUUUAUACAAGUCAUUUUCUAAUACUUUUGUGUGCUUAUAAAUUCAGAUUUAAACUAAACGUUACAUGAACUGGUUUUUUUCAAAUUUUAAAAUGGCACGAUUCUUUACCAAAUUAGGCUAUUUUUUCCAUGUAUACAUGCCUAUCGUGUAUGUCUGAGGGAUUAGCUUUCUUACCCGCUUGGUUACUGUAAAUUAGAUAUUGAAAGUUGCUUCCCCCCUUCUAAGUUCUAAUGAUCUUUGGUUUUUGUAUUUUGCCCAUGCAUGCUUGCAAACUUGAGUGGUUAAUUUCUUUAAUAGGUUUGUUUUCCAUGUAUCUAUGCAGGCAGUGGCUGAAGAAAAAUUCAAACUCUGCGUUAAUGCAUACAAAUCACUAUGUGAUGCUCUGUCCUCAGUCUAAUCACUGGGUUGCAUUUUGCAAUCAAAAUCAACACUGCAUCCCAAGGGGUUUCCCCAUUUCAUUCAGGCACAAUAUUUCUGGAGAUUGGAGAAGAAGUGAACUGUAAUCAAAUCCAAUUGCUUCCCAGUAAUGUGGAAGCUCUAGAUUUCCAACCCCUCCAGAAUGGAAAUGUGGCCCAGCCUGCCAAUCAUUACUUAUUUCAUCAACCUGUUAUACAGGAUUAAAUAUCUUUUAUUUCUGUGAUUUAACAAUUUUUUUUACUACAGUUAUGAUAAUAAUAUUUCUUUUGAUUAAUAUUCUUUUUAUUUUAAAAUUCAUUGGAAAGAAUCCAUACUUCUGUAAGCGCCAACUUGGCUCCUUUGGAAAGAAUUUAUACUAAUUCAUUAAAAUUGGUUGCGCG
rnacentral:misc_RNA from 1 species